AUUGAACGCUGGCGGCAGGCCUAACACAUGCAAGUCGAGCGGAUGAAGGGAGCUUGCUCCUGGAUUCAGCGGCGGACGGGUGCGUAAUGCCUAGGAAUCUGCCUGGUAGUGGGGGAUAACGUCCGGAAACGGGCGCUAAUACCGCAUACGUCCUGAGGGAGAAAGUGGGGGAUCUUCGGACCUCACGCUAUCAGAUGAGCCUAGGUCGGAUUAGCUAGUUGGUGGGGUAAAGGCCUACCAAGGCGACGAUCCGUAACUGGUCUGAGAGGAUGAUCAGUCACACUGGAACUGAGACACGGUCCAGACUCCUACGGGAGGCAGCAGUGGGGAAUAUUGGACAAUGGGCGAAAGCCUGAUCCAGACAUGCCGCGUGUGUGAAGAAGGUCUUCGGAUUGUAAAGCACUUUAAGUUGGGAGGAAGGGCAGUAAGUUAAUACCUUGCUGUUUUGACGUUACCAACAGAAUAAGCACCGGCUAACUUCGUG
rnacentral:rRNA from 1 species